UGCAGUCGAGCGGUAACAGAUCCAGCUUGCUGGAUGCUGACGAGCGGCGGACGGGUGAGUAAUGCAUAGGAAUCUGCCCGAUAGUGGGGGAUAACCUGGGGAAACCCAGGCUAAUACCGCAUACGUCCUACGGGAGAAAGGGGGCUCCGGCUCCCGCUAUGGGAUGAGCCUAUGUCGGAUUAGCUAGUUGGUGAGGUAACGGCUCACCAAGGCCACGAUCCGUAGCUGGUCUGAGAGGAUGAUCAGCCACAUCGGGACUGAGACACGGCCCGAACUCCUACGGGAGGCAGCAGUGGGGAAUAUUGGACAAUGGGGGAAACCCUGAUCCAGCCAUGCCGCGUGUGUGAAGAAGGCCCUCGGGUUGUAAAGCACUUUCAGCGAGGAAGAACGCCUAGCGGUUAAUACCCGCUAGGAAAGACAUCACUCGCAGAAGAAGCACCGGCUAACUCCGUGCCAGCAGCCGCGGUAAUACGGAGGGUGCAAGCGUUAAUCGGAAUUACUGGGCGUAAAGCGCGCGUAGGUGGCUUGAUAAGCCGGUUGUGAAAGCCCCGGGCUCAACCUGGGAACGGCAUCCGGAACUGUCAAGCUAGAGUGCAGGAGAGGAAGGUAGAAUUCCCGGUGUAGCGGUGAAAUGCGUAGAGAUCGGGAGGAAUACCAGUGGCGAAGGCGGCCUUCUGGACUGACACUGACACUGAGGUGCGAAAGCGUGGGUAGCAAACAGGAUUAGAUACCCUGGUAGUCCACGCCGUAAACGAUGUCGACCAGCCGUUGGGUGCCUAGCGCACUUUGUGGCGAAGUUAACGCGAUAAGUCGACCGCCUGGGGAGUACGGCCGCAAGGUUAAAACUCAAAUGAAUUGACGGGGGCCCGCACAAGCGGGUGGGAGCAUGUGGUUUAAUUCGAUGC
rnacentral:rRNA from 1 species